rnacentral:misc_RNA from 1 species
ACCGCGUCGCCCCCUCCCCCUCCGGGGGGGAUCGGGGCGGAGACUGGCCCCCCGUGCGCGCCCGCGCGCGGCCGGCCUAAACGCAGACCCCGCGGCCCCGAAGAGGCACGGCGAUUGGUGGAGUACGUAAGACCUACGCAUCGCGCCGCGCGACGAGGGGACCGCCGGGGCCAACAGGAAUAGGACCCACAAUAUUACCGUU